UACGGAAGGCAGCAGUGGGGAAUAUUGCACAAUGGGCGCAAGCCUGAUGCAGCCAUGCCGCGUGUAUGAAGAAGGCCUUCGGGUUGUAAAGUACUUUCAGUCGUGAGGAAGGUGUUAAGGUUAAUAACCUUAGCAAUUGACGUUAGCGACAGAAGAAGCACCGGCUAACUCCGUGCCAGCAGCCGCGGUAAUACGGAGGGUGCGAGCGUUAAUCGGAAUUACUGGGCGUAAAGGGCACGCAGGCGGUUAAUUAAGUUGGAUGUGAAAUCCCCGGGCUUAACCUGGGAAUGGCAUUCAAGACUGGUUAGCUAGAGUCUUGUAGAGGGGGUAGAAUUCCAUGUGUAGCGGUGAAAUGCGUAGAGAUGUGGAGGAAUACCGGUGGCGAAGGCGGCCCCUGGGACAAAGACUGACGCUCAUGUGCGAAAGCGUGGGGAGCAAACAGGAUUAGAUACC
rnacentral:rRNA from 1 species